rnacentral:pre_miRNA from 1 species
AUAGUACUCCCUCUGUCCCAAAAUUCUUGUCUUAGAUUUGUCUAGAUACAGAUGUAUCAAGUCACAUUUUAGUAUUAGAUACAUCUGUAUCUAGACAAAUCUUAGACAAGAAUUUUGGGAUGGAGGGAGUAGUAU